AUUAGACUUAAUAGCAUGUGAAACCAGCAAGUCAUAUUUACUAUCACGUAAGCUAACGAAGAUUAAAACAAUAAUAUAGAGAGAGAAUGAGAGAUAUGAGGCAUUUUUAAAAAGUUUUUCCUUCUUCGUUUUCUUAAGACUUGCUGCUAUUGCUGCUUAUUGCUUUUUAUUCUUACUUCUUCUCUUUCUUUUUUCUUCUUUGUAUACUAACAUCCUAGGUUCCCUUAUUUUAUUAAAAAGAAAGAUUAGGAAAAAUAAGAAGAAAUGAACAGGAACUUCUUUUUCUUUCCUUUGAUUUUGCAUUAAGCAUGGUGAAAUGGAAUCGCUUGAUUUAGGGACCCAAAACGCAUUUCAAGCAAUUUGGGAUGCAAAUGUCUCUCGUUUUGGAACACGCGAUUUGGGUCACGGAACCCAGGGGGUUAAGGAGAAUCUGGCAACUAUGUUCUAUCCUAAAAUGAAAAGAAACACUCAAAAGAUAGAUGCAAAAUCCACAACAUUUUACAAAAUUCAACCCUCAAAAUUUCCUAAACAUAACCAUGAAGAUAGUCUGUGAUGAGUGCUCUUAAUACAUCACACUGGGGUUGGGUAAAAGGUGCAGAACAAGUUGCCAGAUAAAAAAUUUACAAUGAUCAAGGUUGAAAGGGAUGUGAGAUUCAAAUCCUCACAAAAAGAAGGUAUUAUUCCAGUGCAAUCAAACAAUUGUUCUUACUUUAUAUCCAGAAAUGAAAGGGAAAAAAAAAAAAAUCAGACGAUAGAUGCAAAGUCCAUAACUUUUUUACAAGAGUCAACCCUCAAAAUUCCCUAAACAUAACCAUGUAGAUAGUCUGUGAUGAGUAGUCUUAACACAUCACAUUAGGGUUGGGUACAAGUCGCAGAAUAAGUUGCCAGAUAAAAAUUUCCAGUGAUCAAGUUUGAAAGGACUAUUUAAAGGGCAAAUCUUCACAAAAAGAAGGGACUCGUUCCAGUGCAAUCAAACAUUUGCUAUUAGUUUCUAUCCUAUUGGUU
rnacentral:misc_RNA from 1 species